rnacentral:rRNA from 1 species
GAUGAACGCUGGCGGCGUGCCUAAUACAUGCAAGUCGAGCGAACAGACGAGGAGCUUGCUCCUCUGGCGUUAGCGGCGGACGGGUGAGUAACACGUGGAUAACCUACCUAUAAGACUGGGAUAACUUCGGGAAACCGGAGCUAAUACCGGAUAAUAUAUUGAACCGCAUGGUUCAAUAGUGAAAGACGGUUUUGCUGUCACUUAUAGAUGGAUCCGCGCCGCAUUAGCUAGUUGGUAAGGUAACGGCUUACCAAGGCAACGAUGCGUAGCCGACCUGAGAGGGUGAUCGGCCACACUGGAACUGAGACGCGGUCCAGACUCCUACGGGAGGCAGCAGUAGGGAAUCUUCCGCAAUGGGCGAAAGCCUGACGGAGCAACGCCGCGUGAGUGAUGAAGGUCUUCGGAUCGUAAAACUCUGUUAUUAGGGAAGAACAAAUGUGUAAGUAACUAUGCACGUCUUGACGGUACCUAAUCAGAAAGCCACGGCUAACUACGUG